rnacentral:rRNA from 1 species
GUCCUAGCUGUAAACGAUGGACACUAGGUGUUGGGCCCGUUAGGGCUCAGUGCCGCAGCCAACGCGCUAAGUGUCCCACCUGAGGAGUACGGCCGCAAGGUUGAAACUCAAAGGAAUUGACGGGGGCCAGCACAAGCGGUGGAACAUGUGGUUCAAUUCGAUGCUACGCGAAGAACCUUACCCAGGCUUGACAUGCUUGAAGUAGGAACCUGAAAGGGCAACGACUCGUAACCAGUCGAGAGCUUGCACAGGUGCUGCAUGGCUGUCGU